rnacentral:lncRNA from 1 species
UAGAGUAAGAAGAGGAAGCUUGCUGUCUGUGAACUGGUAAGACUGAUUGAAUCUUCUACAGGGAGCUUGGAAAAGAUUCAGGAAACCUCAACAAGAUGCUGUUGCUGUCACUGUCACUGGUGUAGAAGUGCUUGAAAGGCAGUGUGGAAUGAUCCCUUGCAGAUUCUGUUAGUGGACAGCAAGGCUCCUUUAGAAACCACAGAACCUCUAGUUGCUCACAUCAAAAUGAAACAAUAGAAAUGCUACAUACAAAAAUACUAAGUGAGGGGCUGGAGAGAUGGCAGCAAUUAAGAACAGGCACUGUUCUUGGCAGAAGGAUGUGAGUUCCGUUCCCAGCAUCCAUGUCACCCAGCUCUCAACAAGCCUGGAGUUGCAGCUCCAGAGCAUCCCAUGCGUCUUCCUGUGCACAGAAAUAUUAAGUGAAUAGAAGUAGGUGAGAGAAAAAUAAAUCUCUGCUUUAAGUUCCUUUUCUUGACAAUUGUUUUGGCUGUAGAGUCAAAUUAUCCUACCAGUCUUUAUUGAUUACAUUGUAUGUAAUUUAUGCCACUGUAUAUCCCGAGUCACACAUGGUGUAAUUGUGUAUGUCUAAUAUAUUGAAAGGCAAGGAUAUGAGAGGGGAACAAAACUAAAGUGGAGAGCUUUCUUGUAAUAACUAUGCCAGAUCCUGUUGCUGAAUGAACUAAUUUAGCUCUCUUGAAAUCCAUCGGUUCUUCCAAACCGCUAUAAAAACCAUUUAACUAUUGGAAUGAAGUGAAUUUCAACACGAUUAUCUGUCUUGAAGUUGCAGGCUCAUGUGUGCAUGAAAACUGCCUUUUUCUUUUGAGAUUAACUGCUAAUUAAGUAAUUAUGCAAAUGGCUGUAUUUUAAAUGUAAGGUGGAUAUUUUGAAGAAUUCUACUAGGGUAACAAUGAGUGAUUUGUUUGUUUGUUUUUUAAUAAAGAAAAUCCUUUAUC